rnacentral:lncRNA from 1 species
ACGAGGACGGGGAGUGCGGCUUCUGGCAGGCUUCGAGUGGAAGGGGCACAUGGACGAAUCGAACAUACACCGGAAUGAGAGGGAUCUGGAGACUGUAUAGGUAUGAGACUAUAUAGUUGAGGGAUAGCUUAAAGGAAUUGAUUUGGCUACUCAUAUCAACAAAUGCAUUUGCUUUUCGGUAGCCUAACUCAUAAGAACUCCAUGGUUAAGCGUGCUUAGCCUAGAGUAAUUAUGGGAUGGGUGACCUUCCGGG